rnacentral:rRNA from 1 species
ACGGGAGGCAGCCGUUUUUCCUAUUUCGCAAUGGGGGAAACCCUGACGCAGCGACGCCGCGUGAGUGAUGAAGUAUUUCGGUAUGUAAAGCUCUUUAAGCAGGGAAGAUAAUGACGGUACCUGCAGAAUAAGCACCGGCUGAAUACGUGCCAGCAGCCGCGGUAAUACGUAUGGUGCAAGCGUUAUCCGGAUUUACUGGGUGUAAAGGGAGUGUAGGUGGUCUGGCAAGCCAGAAGUGAAAACCCGGGGCUCAACUCCGUGGAUUGCUUUUGGAACUGUUGGACUAGAGUGCAGGAGGGGUAAGCGGAAUUCCCAGUGUAGCGGUGAAAUGCGUAGAUAUUGGGAGGAACACCAGCGGCGAAGGCGGCUUACUGGACUGUAACUGACACUGAGGCUCGAAAGCGUGGGGAGCAAACAGGAUUAGAUACCCUGUUA